AAUAAUCCUGUGCAGAUCGUUACAGAACUAAAUUAAGUUGAAGAAGUGAGACACACAUUACACACACCGUCCAUGAAAAAUGACCUCCCUGAUUGCUCGUAGUCUGAUACCAAGAAACAACCCAACGCUUUCAUGCAAAAUCAACCACUCCUCAAUUCCCUUCACCACAAACCCAACUCCAUCUCUCAGUUUCUCUUUCUCUCUCUUCAAACCCCAAUUUCUGUCUUUUAAUAACUCAGGAUGUGGCCGAGUCCACUCAGUCCAUCCACACAGAUCUUCCCAAAAUCCAUUAAGAAUCCUGUUCAGUCUCGAGACACUCAUUCUCUUCAUAUUCUCUCUCUCUCUUCUCUGCCUCAGGAUCGCCUCGGAUGUCAUCGUCCCCGAUUUCACUCACCGAUGGCAUCAACUCAUUGCGUUCUCCGAAGAGUCUGAGGCCAAGUUUAGCCAUUACCCGUCGCAUUUGUGGCGAGCUGUUGUUGCCUACGAAGACCGGCGGUUCUUUCGGCAUUUUGGGAUCGACCCAGUUGGCAUUGGCCGGGCUGUGUUGUCCUUUUCGGCUCUUGGAGGUGGUAGCACUAUAACCCAACAGCUUGUCAAGAACACUUUAUUGAAAAAUGAACGUACAUUCUCGAGGAAAAUUGUUGAGAUGGUUUUGGCUCUAGCAUUGGAGAGGACAAUUUCAAAAUUGAGAAUCUUGAGCUCCUAUUUGAGUAAGAUAUACUGGGGACAUGGUAUUUAUGGCAUUGAAUUGGCAUCAUAUUUUUAUUUCCGGAAGCAUCCAACCAUUCUCAGUUUGGGGGAGUGUGCAAUGCUUGCCGGGAUUAUACCAGCACCAGAGCUCCGAUCGCCACUCAGGGACCCCGGCAGAGGGAAGAAAUACCAAGUUAGAGUACUGAAAAGAAUGGUGGAAGUUGGUUUUCUUGAUAUCGAGACAGCACUUAUGGUUGUGAAACAAUCUGUUCAUUUGCAUGCCGAUCAGGCAGAUUAUGUGGAUGGAUUGUUGCCUUUGAUGUCUUCCUUUAGGGAGCAGAAAGGAAGUAUGGAUUCUAUAAUGAAGGAAAUAUGGGACUGGGAAACUGAAAGCAAGAUUUGGGAAGCAAGAGAGGACAUGGAAAGAUGGGCACUAAGCAUCCAGAAAAGAAAUACAUCAAAAAUUUCUAUUUCAAAUGACAAACUGGAUAUUCAAUUGUAAUAGACAACUGUAUCAGAUAGUAACCUUUUUGACUGUUUGACAAACGUUUGGGAAUUCAAUCCGGGGCCUGUUCCAGGAACUUGCAGCCUUUUUUUCUUGGUGGAUUUCAAGUUCCAGUCACCACCUUAUCGACAGAUGGCAUCAGUGUUCUUUAAGGAGGCGGUCUCUCGGCUUGUUAGUUCAUUCAAUGAUCGUUGUCGUGUGAUAUAUGGACCAGGGGUUCGAAUCCUUGAAAACACUUACGGCCAAGGAGUGUGAAAGUGUUCGGCUUAUUUGAUGAUGAUACCUUGUAAACUCGAAUGCCAAUUUAUAUCCUCUGUGCGCUUCACACAAAUUUCAAAUCAACGGAAUCUAAUUCAUUUCUCACCAUGUCCGCUAGAUUGUUGUUCUGUGUACUGGCCGGGGCCCAUUGCUCAUUUAUUUUUGCCGGGUGCUGUGCGAAGGUUCGCUUCUAAGGCCCGCUUGCUAACUGUUCUCGGUUGUUGUUUAUCAUUUAAGCUUAAAUGCAAGUAGUGUUUAUGUUAGGUUGUUGUUUAUCAAUAAUUGAAAUAUUGUUUGAUAACACGGAAAUGCUGAGCUUGUUUUGAAAAUGAAAAACAAAGAACAUUGUCUGUUAACCUUAAAUUAUUUAAAGAAAAAUAUAACAAAAUAAGUUGUUUAGUAAUUCUAAAAUGUUUGAAGAAAUUGAAAAUGGAGACAUAGCCUUCUUCUAGAAAUUGUCUGAAGCCUAUUUUUUAUUUUUAUUUUUAGUUUGGGACUUGCACGUGCUCAUCUUCAUGGUAUGUUGAUCAAAGCAAUUUUUUUAUUUAUUUUUAACCUGGCAAUGGUUAGAGAGUUAGGAAUU